AUGGCGUCCAUCGUCGUGAUCGGGCUGGUGCUCCUCCUCGACAUCCUCGCCUUCGUCCUCGCCAUCGGCGCCGAGCGCCGCCGGAGCACGGCGCAACUCGGCGAGGCCGAGCCUGGCGGCAGGCGGUACUGCAUGUACGACACGGACGCGUCCACCUGGUACGGCGUCGGCGCGCUCGCCCUGCUGCUGGUCGGGCAGGCCGUGGCCAUGGCCGCCAGCCGCUGCUUCUGCUGCGGCCGCGCGCUCUCCCCCGGCCGCUGGCGCUUCUUCUCCGGCCUCUUCUUCGUCCUCUGCUGGCUGACGUUCGUGAUCGCGGAGGUGUGCCUGCUGGCGGGGUCGGUGCGGAACGCGUACCACACCAAGUACGUGAGCGGCUACUACGACGGAGGGGCGCUCCCCUGCGCGAUGCUGCGCAGGGGCGUCUUCGCCGCCGGCGCCGCCUUCGCCUUCCUCACCACGCUCUUCGUCAUGCUCCACUACGUCUUCUACUCCAAGGCCCGCGCCGCGCCCCCGCCCAUCAUCAACGGCGGCGGCAUCGGCAUGACCCGCAUCUGA
rnacentral:rRNA from 1 species